UCGAACGGUGAUGAGGAGCUUGCUUCUCUGAUCAGUGGCGAACGGGUGAGUAACACGUGAGCAAUCUGCCCUUGACUCUGGGAUAAGCGUUGGAAACGACGUCUAAUACCGGAUACGACCUUUGGAGGCAUCUCUGGGGGUGGAAAGAAUUUUGGUCAAGGAUGAGCUCGCGGCCUAUCAGCUAGUUGGUGAGGUAAUGGCUCACCAAGGCGACGACGGGUAGCCGGCCUGAGAGGGUGACCGGCCACACUGGGACUGAGACACGGCCCAGACUCCUACGGGAGGCAGCAGUGGGGAAUAUUGCACAAUGGGCGAAAGCCUGAUGCAGCAACGCCGCGUGAGGGACGACGGCCUUCGGGUUGUAAACCUCUUUUAGUAGGGAAGAAGCGAAAGUGACGGUACCUGCAGAAAAAGCACCGGCUAACUACGUGCCAGCAGCCGCGGUAAUACGUAGGGUGCAAGCGUUGUCCGGAAUUAUUGGGCGUAAAGAGCUCGUAGGCGGUUUGUCGCGUCUGCUGUGAAAACCCGAGGCUCAACCUCGGGCCUGCAGUGGGUACGGGCAGACUAGAGUGCGGUAGGGGAGAUUGGAAUUCCUGGUGUAGCGGUGGAAUGCGCAGAUAUCAGGAGGAACACCAAUGGCGAAGGCAGAUCUCUGGGCCGUAACUGACGCUGAGGAGCGAAAGCAUGGGGGAGCGAACAGGAUUAGAUACCCUGGUAGUCCAUGCCGUAAACGUUGGGAACUAGAUGUGGGGACCAUUCCACGGUCUCCGUG
rnacentral:rRNA from 1 species